CCCUUAGAUGUUCUGGGCCGCACGCGCGCUACACUGAUGCAUUCAACGAGCCUAUCCUUGACCGACAGGUCCGGGUAAUCUUUGAAUCUGCAUCGUGACGGGGAUAGAUUAUUGCAAUUAUUAAUCUUCAACGAGGAAUGCCUAGUAGGCGCAAGUCAUCAGCUUGCGUCGAUUACGUCCCUGCCCUUUGUACACACCGCCCGUCGCUCCUACCGAUUGAGCGAUCCGGUGAAUGUUUUGGACUGGCGUCAGAAGCGGUUCGCUCCUGACACUACGAAAUUUUGUAAACCUUAUCGCUUAGAGGAAGGAAAAGUCGUAACA
rnacentral:rRNA from 1 species